UUUACAGUACAUAUGUAUGCAUAAAGCUGUUAACACUUGAUGGAGGUACUUUUCAUUACAAUUAGUGUGAUAUUUCAGUGAUUUUGCUCUCAGUGAAUUAAGUAUAUAAAUGAUUAUACAUUUUGGACUCAGUAAUUUAUAUGAUUUACUAAGAUUAUAUAAGAUGAUAUGAGCAAUUGAAGUGAACUUACAGCACUUCAUGGAAUAAGGUACUAAGCUCAUAUAUAUAUUUGUACAGUGAUAUUGAUGUAAAAUAUACUUGUCAAAGAUUUUUGGUCAAAAAUCUUUUUGGAGUGUGGGGCAUAUGUCACAGUCCAGUUUUAGAACCUCUGUGACAUGAUGUGACACUCAGUCACCCAUUGUAAUAUUCCGUGCUGAGAACACGUGAAUAAGUUAAAGGACUCUAAAAUAAGGGUCAAUGUUAACUAGUUAGUGAAGAACUCCAGCAGAGAGUGGAUGUACAAUUUUCUCUGUCUGUAAUAUGUACCUUAAUGAAUUUGAUCUUAUGUUAACUUGAGAGAUUUCUUCGGACUUAUAUUGUGAACAUUUCAUUGAUGUGAUUACCUAUUCUACAUGGCAUGAGCAGCCAGUAUUUAUUGGUUUAUAUUUUGUGACGGCUUAAGUCGCCAGUAUAUUUUGUGAAUUAUAUUUUAUGUAUAAUAAAAUUAUCGUCUGCUACAAGAGCAUUUAUUAAUGUUUCGGAACGUUUGUGCUUGAAGAGUUCAGUACGCUAGUAUACGCACGCACCUGCAAAUAUAGUGCGUAUGAGAGAGUAUCUACUUAAGGAACAAUACCUACAACACACGGACACAUUCACGUCGUCACGCCUACAACUAAAACUAGGCAGCGACAAUUGUCCUUUUAAUUUUCUAAUCACAUCUUGUGAUGUUGUUGUUGAAAGAUAAUCAUACUCAGUAAAAUUAGAGUAAUAAUCAACAGUAAUUAGAUACCGUCUUCCAUCCACUUCCAUCAGGUCAGCUCCAACUUUUUCCCAUGGAACAUUUCCUUCAUCAUGUUGUAUAAGUGUUUCUCUCUGGUUCAUAGGUUUUCUUUCCUGACAAGCAGUGCAUGUCUGCCAUCUGCUUUAUUUCAUCAGCCAUGCCUGGCCAGAAUAUCGUCUGUUGGGGCCUCCUCAUCAUUCCAUCAUAUGCAAUGUGUGCUGUGUGCAGGUUUUUCUUCAUUUCUUGACGCAUACUGAAAGGCCCCUUCAUAUGUUGACCUAACAAAGUCAAAGUUGCCAAGGAGAGUUGAGUAAAUAGAAGCGCAAAAGUUUCAUUUAUUAACUUUUAAAGCAAUAACACAGUUGAAUGUUCAAGUAUCCACCAGACAGAUGAAUGUUCAAGUAUCCACCAGACAGAUGAAUGUUCAAGUAUCCACCAGAUAGAUGAAUGUUCAAGUAUCCACCAGACAGUUGAAUGUUCAAGUAUCCACUAGACAGAUGAAUGUUCAAGUAUCCACCAGACAGUUGAAUGUGCAAGUAUCCACUAGACAGAUGAAUGUUCAAGUAUCCACCAUUUCAUUAAUUAUCAUAUUUCUCUUUUAGGAAAAUGUUUCUGUUUUCACUUUAUUUUAUUUUGUACCAGUCUAUUAUUUUGUACCAUUAAAAAUUUAUAUUUUAUGUUAGUAAAAAAGAUGUUUGAAAUUUUGUAGCAAAAUUUUAAAAAAAAAUCUCCUCUAUAUAUAUUAAAAUAGUAAUUUACUCAACCUUGGAAUCCUAUCACUGAACUGGGAAAGCUAGCUUUGAUUGUUUUUGUUGUUGUAAAUAUCCAUAUGGAUAGUGUGUAUAUUAUGCAAAGGUUGAUUAUUAGCUGUUAAGGUUGGAAUUUUCCUUUUUUUAAUUUUUACAUGAUUUCAAUGUUAAAUACCACUGUAGUUGUCUUUCUGAUAAUGAUGCUAUGAUGUGGUCUUGGUAUAUUUUUUCUGUGAUUAGAUGUUGUAACAUAUGGAUAUUGACAAUGUACAAAGUUUAUAUACAACCAAGUUCAUACAUUAAUCUAUUUCACAAUCAUACAAACUAUAAACUGCGUAAAGCUUUUUGUUAUUAUUAAAAAUAUAAACUGUAAAGUAUUGGAUGCUAAAAUGCAUUUGAAUUGAUUCUUCCCGAGCUAUACUUUAUUGCUUCUUCAUUUUGUGUGUGCACAAUCUAUUGAAUUAAUAAUGUAAUUUUUUGUGAGAUGAUUUGUGUUGGUCACAUGUAUAAGUCAUUAGUUUCUAUCAUGAUUUUUUAAAAAGUAUUUGUGUAAAACCACAGAGGUUUCAUUAAAUUUGUACUUUAUUAAUUUUUUAUUUUAAAUUUUUGUUAAGUUUUAAUUUUACUUACAAGCUGAAUUUGUAUACAUAGCUAUGAUUUGAUUUGAUUAUAAAAUUUUACAUGGUCUAAGGUUUUUGAGUUCAUUGAAGCUUUUUUUCAAAACUGUCUGAAGAGUUGAACUGAAGGCUUGUGAAACAAUAGGCCAGCAAAAAAUAAUUAAAGCUUCCUCUCACCAGCCUGACUGAAAUGAUUGUUCUGUCUGGAAGAGAUCCUACUUGGUGUCUGUAUCACACUACUAUUUCCAAUGCUUCAGAAGCUCCAGACACGGGGGCUAGAGAUUGGCAGACUGCUAAGCACACCAAGAACUCCUGCCAUCUUCCUGCUCUUUACCACACUCAACAAUCCCCAUUGCAUUUGUGAAACAGAAUGUUGGGAUUGUUGACAUGGUCAUAAAGACUCUCUUCCCAACCAAGACUUGAGCAAUGCUUUUCCAUUCCUAAUGAAGUCUUGUUUUCUUACUUCCUUGAAGCCUAAUUGUUUUGACCCAGGGGUGGGGGGGCACUAUGUUGUAGACUGGGAUGUUUGCUUUCUGACAGCAUUGUAGAAUAAUUAUAUUGUAAUAAAAUAUUUUUCAAAUAAAAAAAUUAAAUGAAACAAAACCUACAUCUUGGCUAUUAAAAUCUAGGUUAAUACUGCUAUUUGUUAUAUAAUGUAUGUGUCACUGUCAUGAGAUGCUUACAUAAACAUUGGUUUUGUGAAACAUCAGUCAAUUGUAUUUAUGACCCUACUCUAAAUGGCCUAGAAUGUUGAACACAAGAGUACCAGUUCAAUGUUAGAGAAAAUAAUAGUAAGUAGGGGAGACAAUAAAAGAGUUUUAAUAUGUUC